GAUGAACGCUGGCGGCGUGCUUAACACAUGCAAGUCGAACGGAAAGGCCCAAGCUUGCUUGGGUACUCGAGUGGCGAACGGGUGAGUAACACGUGGGUGAUCUGCCCUGCACUUCGGGAUAAGCCUGGGUAACUGGGUCUAAUACUGGAUAGGACCACUUCUUGGAUGUUGUGGUGGAAAGUUUUUUCGGUGUGGGAUGAGCUCGCGGCCUAUCAGCUUGUUGGUGGGGUAAUGGCCUACCAAGGCGUCGACGGGUAGCCGGCCUGAGAGGGUGUACGGCCACAUUGGGAAUGAGAGACGGCCCAGACUGCUACGGGAGGAAGAAGUGGGGAAUAUUGCACAAUGGGCGCAAGCCUGAUGCAGCGAGGCCGCGUGGGGGAUGACGGCCUUGGGGUUGAAAAAACAUUUCGCUAGGGACGAAGCGUUUUGUGACGGUACCUGGAGAAGAAGCACCGGCUAACUACGUG
rnacentral:rRNA from 1 species